rnacentral:rRNA from 1 species
UAUGUGAUCGUCUCUCGCAUAUCAAUAAGCGGAGGAAAAGAAACUAACAAGGAUUCCCCUAGUAACGGCGAGUGAAGCGGGAAGAGCUCAAAUUUGAAAUCUUAAAGGGUUUCCCUUUACGAAUUGUAGUUUAAAGAAGUGUUUUCUGUUGAGGUUUUGGUAAAAGUUCUUUGAAAUAGGACAUCAUAGAGGGUGAGAAUCCCGUAUUUGACCUUUACUUUCAACUUUGUGAUACACUUUCAAAGAGUCGGAUUGUUUGGGAAUGCAGUCCAAAAUGGGUGGUAAAUUUCAUCUAAAGCUAAAUAUUGGCGAGAGACCGAUAGCGAACAAGUACCGUGAGGGAAAGAUGAAAAGAACUUUGAAAAGAGAGUUAAGCAGUACGUGAAAUUGUCAAAAGGGAAGCGUUUGACACCAGUGUUGUUUUUCUGAAAAUCAAUUAAAGAACUGUUUAUGCUAAGCUGUUUAGACUUUAUCAGCUAUCUGUUUAGUUUUGAGCUUUUCUUUAAUGCACUUUUCAGUUAACAAGUCAACAUCAAUUUCUUUUGCUGUAAAAAAGCUUGAGGAAGGUGGCUUGAGAUUCGUCUUAAGUGUUUAUAGCCUCUUGCCUAUGCAGUCGGAGAGAUUGAGGUCUGCAGCGUAGAUCCUUCGGGGCUAAAUGCAUUUGUGCUAAGUUAUAACAUUUUAUAGACAACUUGUUGACUAUGAUUUGUCUUGUAGCUUACUCGCUUAUGUUAUUUUACCUACGCUUAGGAUGUUGAUCUACAGAGCGAGAGU